rnacentral:lncRNA from 11 species
AGUUAGUUCAGGUGCCAGGAGUAUAUUGGCAGCAACAUAUUUCAUAUUUAUAGUUUAGGCAACUCAAGUUUAAAGUUCAGGAAACUCAAAGGUGUUGACGGAAGACAAAGUCUGAUAAAGGAAACAGAACAAGAAUUGGAAGACACCACAAGGACCAACCAGUCCAACUGCCAACCAUGAGCCACCAUGGCAAGGUCCAACCUACUCAAGAAAGAUUUCCUUCAUUGCACAGCCCUAAGCUUGGUACAAGGAUUUCCAAAUGCAUAUGCAGCAUUAAAUCAUUGUACAGACUACUCCAUGACAAACAGUUGGCUGAACUGACCACAUGAUCAACAUUUUCUCAUGAAGAUAUUCAAGUGAACAACUCGAAUAAGGUGAGGUUAAAAU